rnacentral:lncRNA from 1 species
ACGUGACCAACCCAAGUAUAGGGUUUGGGGUGUGACAGAGAUGAUAUCAGAGCUUAGGUUUAAGAUUCUGAAGGAUAAGCUUUAAAUGAGUAUGGAUAGGCAAACCUCUAGUUGAGUGUGUAUAUUAGGUAGCAUAUAAUUGUGAAUCAUGUGUUCUUUUUGAUUACUAAGAAUUAGGAUUGAUUAUGACUUUGAAUACAAAUAUUGGUUAGUGUAGGCUAAGAUGGUUUGUGGUAGUGAACGAGGAUGUGUGAGGAGGCCGAUGCAGUUUGCUGAUGGUUCUAAUGCUUGGAAGCCUACUGAAUAUCAAAAUUAAUGUUCCCUCUACACCAGCAAGUGAUGCUCACCAACGUGGGGAUAUCAACAAUCCUAUCUCAAGGCCCAAGGACUCAGGGAGGA